rnacentral:rRNA from 2 species
UAAAGCGAUUCAGCGGGUUACGAUUGACGGAGCGAAGCGACGUCAAAGCGUAUACAAAGUCGAGUCGGUUUAAGGAUACGUUCGUUGGGUAGGGGAGCGUUCUGUAAGCCCGUGAAGGUGGCCUGUGAGGGUUGCUGGAGGUAUCAGAAGUGCGAAUGCUGACAUAAGUAACGAUAAAGCGGGUGAAAAGCCCGCUCGCCGGAAGACCAAGGGUUCCUGUCCAACGUUAAUCGGGGCAGGGUGAGUCGACCCCUAAGGCGAGGCCGAAAGGCGUAGUCGAUGGGAAACGGGUUAAUAUUCCCGUACUUGGUGUUACUGCGAAGGGGGGACGGAGAAGGCUAUGUUGGCCGGGCGACGGUUGUCCCGGUUUAAGCGUGUAGGUGUGUGUUCCAGGUAAAUCCGGUUCACUUUAACACUGAGGCGUGAUGACGAGGCACUACGGUGCUGAAGCAACAAAUGCCCUGCUUCCAGGAAAAGCCUCUAAGCAUCAGGUAACAUCAAAUCGUACCCCAAACCGACACAGGUGGUCAGGUAGAGAAUACCAAGGCGCUUGAGAGAACUCGGGUGAAGGAACUAGGCAAAAUGGUGCCGUAACUUCGGGAGAAGGCACGCUGACACGUAGGUGAAGUGAUUUACUCACGGAGCUGAAGUCAGUCGAAGAUACCAGCUGGCUGCAACUGUUUAUUAAAAACACAGCACUGUGCAAACACGAAAGUGGACGUAUACGGUGUGACGCCUGCCCGGUGCCGGAAGGUUAAUUGAUGGGGUCAGCGCAAGCGAAGCUCCUGAUCGAAGCCCCGGUAAACGGCGGCCGUAACUAUAACGGUCCUAAGGUAGCGAAAUUCCUUGUCGGGUAAGUUCCGACCUGCACGAAUGGCGUAAUGAUGGCCAGGCUGUCUCCACCCGAGACUCAGUGAAAUUGAACUCGCUGUGAAGAUGCAGUGUACCCGCGGCAAGACGGAAAGACCCCGUGAACCUUUACUAUAGCUUGACACUGAACAUUGAGCCUUGAUGUGUAGGAUAGGUGGGAGGCUUUGAAGUGUGGACGCCAGUCUGCAUGGAGCCGACCUUGAAAUACCACCCUUUAAUGUUUGAUGUUCUAACGUGGACCCGUAAUCCGGGUUGCGGACAGUGUCUGGUGGGUAGUUUGACUGGGGCGGUCUCCUCCUAAAGAGUAACGGAGGAGCACGAAGGUUGGCUAAUCCUGGUCGGACAUCAGGAGGUUAGUGCAAUGGCAUAAGCCAGCUUGACUGCGAGCGUGACGGCGCGAGCAGGUGCGAAAGCAGGUCAUAGUGAUCCGGUGGUUCUGAAUGGAAGGGCCAUCGCUCAACGGAUAAAAGGUACUCCGGGGAUAACAGGCUGAUACCGCCCAAGAGUUCAUAUCGACGGCGGUGUUUGGCACCUCGAUGUCGGCUCAUCACAUCCUGGGGCUGAAGUAGGUCCCAAGGGUAUGGCUGUUCGCCAUUUAAAGUGGUACGCGAGCUGGGUUUAGAACGUCGUGAGACAGUUCGGUCCCUAUCUGCCGUGGGCGCUGGAGAACUGAGGGGGGCUGCUCCUAGUACGAGAGGACCGGAGUGGACGCAUCACUGGUGUUCGGGUUGUCAUGCCAAUGGCACUGCCCGGUAGCUAAAUGCGGAAGAGAUAAGUGCUGAAAGCAUCUAAGCACGAAACUUGCCCCGAGAUGAGUUCUCCCUGAGACUUAGAGU